rnacentral:rRNA from 1 species
GAUGAACGCUAGCGGCAGGCUUAACACAUGCAAGUCGAGGGGUAUAGGUUUUCGGACCUAGAGACCGGCGCACGGGUGCGUAACGCGUAUGCAAUCUACCUUUCACAGAGGGAUAGCCCAGAGAAAUUUGGAUUAAUACCUCAUAGUAUAGCAGUUUCGCAUGAAACCACUAUUAAAGUAUCAACGGUGAAAGAUGAGCAUGCGUCCCAUUAGCUAGAUGGUAAGGUAACGGCUUACCAUGGCUACGAUGGGUAGGGGUCCUGAGAGGGAGAUCCCCCACACUGGUACGGAGACACGGACCAGACUCCUACGGGAGGCAGCAGUGAGGAAUAUUGGUCAAUGGACGCAAGUCUGAACCAGCCAUGCCGCGUGCAGGAUGAAGGCGUUAUGCGUUGUAAACUGCUUUUAUACAGGAAGAAACGACUCUUGCGAGAGGCAUUGACGGUACUGUAUGAAUAAGCACCGGCUAACUCCGUGCCAGCCGCCGCCGUAACAC